rnacentral:misc_RNA from 1 species
GAUGAGAACGCAGCGAAAUGCGAUACGUAAUGUGAAUUGCAGAAUUCAGUGAAUCAUCGAAUCUUUGAACGCAUAUUGCGCUCUCUGGUAUUCCGGAGAGCAUGCUUGUUUGAGUAUCAGUAAACACCUCAACUUCCAUAUCUUUUUUGAAAUGGGAGUUGGACUUGAGUGAUCCCAACGCUUUUCCUCACCGAAAAGUGGCGGGUUACUUGAAAUGCAGGUGCAGCUGGACUUUUCUCUGAGCUAUAAGCAUAUCUAUUUAGUCUGCCUAAAAAACAGAUUAUUACCUUUGCUGCAGCUAACAUAAAGGAGAUUAGUUCUUGUGCUGACUGAUGCAGGAUUCACAAAGACGGCUUCGGCCGACUUUGUAAACUCGAUCUCAAAUCAAGUAAGACUACCCGCUGAACUUAAGCAUAUCAAUAAGCGGAGGA